ACCUUUCUAGUAUUAGAUAGUACAUGCGACUUCCAAUUGCAAAGUCUUGGUCAGAAUCCAAGGAAAGGUA
rnacentral:tRNA from 1 species